rnacentral:rRNA from 1 species
AACGAACGCUGGCGGCAGGCUUAACACAUGCAAGUCGAACGGAUCCUUCGGGAUUAGUGGCAGACGGGUGAGUAACGCGUGGGAACGUACCCUUUGCUACGGAAUAACUCAGGGAAACUUGAGCUAAUACCGUAUGUGCCCUACGGGGGAAAGAUUUAUCGGCACAGGAUCGGCCCGCGUUGGAUUAGCUAGUUGGUGGGGUAAUGGCCUACCAAGGCGACGAUCCAUAGCUGGUCUGAGAGGAUGAUCAGCCACACUGGGACUGAGACACGGCCCAGACUCCUACGGGAGGCAGCAGUGGGGAAUAUUGGACAAUGGGCGCAAGCCUGAUCCAGCCAUGCCGCGUGAGUGAUGAAGGUCUUAGGAUUGUAAAGCUCUUUCACCGGUGAAGAUAAUGACGGUAGCCGGAGAAGAAGCCCCGGCUAACUUCGUG